UAGUUUAAAAAUAUAAACGUUCUGUUGAAUCAGACGUUCCCAAACUUUUUUUUUUAUAGAUAACUUUCAAAACUUGACUAUCAGACUCAAUGUGUUAAAUGAAGAUAAUUAUAAUUCAUGAUGCUUGGUUUUCGUAUCGGCAUACUAAAUGCCGGUAUAUUAUUAUCAUACAAAUCUUACAUAAACAACUAAAAGUCCUCACUCUUAGCGGGGUUUCACACAAUUUUACAGUCUAUAUUUUUAUGGGCCAAACAUGGAGUAAACUUCAAUUAAUGUAUAAAAGUAUUAUUUAUACACUUUUUUAAGUAUUAAGUUUCACUUAGUUAUUGUACUUAAGUUCAUUUUGAAUUAAGAGAAAAUAAUUUUCUUAUUUUUUUUUAUGGUUGUAACCUAAUACGAUGUGUAAAGAGAUGUUAUUGUGAUGCACAAUACAGCCUUAGAAAAUAGCUCGGCUAUCACGUAUUAUCAUAUAUCGAUUCUUAGCUGAUCCGUUUGUUUUAAUAUUUACUAUUUGGACUAAACUGAUAUCCCCAGUUAUUAAAAUAGUAUUUUACGCAACUUUAUAAAAUAAGAAAUAAGAUUUAUUACUCGUAUACUUAAGAUAUAAAGUUUUUUAUUAUUUUACUUUUUAUAUUACAGACUUUCACUUAUAUUUUGUAAU